rnacentral:lncRNA from 13 species
AUGGACACAGACAGGCCAGUGUGUGAAACUCAGUCUUUGGCUUCUGAUCAGUCUACCAUGAUACUGACAACCUACCAGCUGGAGAGAAGUCUCUACAUGGGCUGUGCGAAAGAGAUUCAGAGGCGUGUACUGAAUUUCCCCAGUAAAUUGUCUAGUAUAAAGGAAGAUAAGCAUCCCUGCUGAAGAAGAGUGGAAAUAUAAUGGAAUCAAUUUAGUGUGUCUGUGAAAAGAACUUAUUUCCCCAUUCCCCCAGGAACCAGGCAAGUGGCAUUUCUCUUAUUCAUGCUAAAUAGUAGAAGGCAUAGUCACCAUUUACUCAGAAUAAUCCUUUCUUAAUGGCAGAGAAGUCCUAUCCAGAAAAGUAUUGUAAGAAAAUAUAUUGUGGGAUCCAGGAUUCUCUUUAGGGCACAGAGAAUCUUGUAGAAUGAAGGGCAAUUUUAUCAUCUUUCUCUUGAAAAUAAUUCCUUUACUGUCUCUUGGGCAUAUUGGUGACCACAUAAUAGUUCUAAAGUGCCAUAUUUCCUUUUCCAAAGGGAAAAUGGAAUAAUCAGUAGAAGAUAGGGAAUGACAAAAAGACCUAUAGGUAGCCUUCCUUGAUAUGAUGGGCCAGUUAAAGGAUCAGUUGUUGUGGGGUAUUAAACACUACCAUCCAUGAUGAGGAGAAUUAACAAGAGAAUUCCCAUGAAAUAAGAUAAUGAAGACCUGGAAAGGUAGAGAGCAUCUGAUCAAACUUCUUUCAUUAUCCAGAUGAAGGAACAGGGUCCCAGAAAAGAGAACUGUAAGUCACAUGAUUAAUUACUAGUGGAAUCAACAUUGAAAUUAAGGUUUCAUCACCUCAUGCAUAAUCCUUUUCCUCCUGAAACCAGGUACAAAUUGAAAUCAUUUACAAAAUAUGCAUCUCUCUGAGUAAUUAUUACACUGCGUUUUAAUUGCCUACUGUUGAGCUUAUCUUCUUAAAGAAACUGUUGAUUUCUGUAAGGAGGGGCUUAUAAACAUCUUUGCAUUUCCACAAUGUCUGAUACCUAUGUAAUAUUCAAUUAAUGCUGAUUAUAUGUAGGAAGCAAUGAAUACGUAAAUGGAGUUCUUUGCAAUCAAGUUGAUCAUUUUUCUUUCUUUUUUCUAAGUUUUGAAAUUUUCUGACCUGCAGUUUUAUUCCUUUUGAAAUGAAAAACAACUCUAAAGA